GACAGAGGAGCCAAGCGUUGUCCGGACUGACUGGGCGUAAAGCGCACGCAGGCGGUGCGGUAAGUGGGGUGUGAAAGCGGUCGGCUCAACCGACCGAGGCCAUCUCAGACUGCCGCACUCGAGCGCUGCAGAGGGUGGUGGAAUUGCCGGUGUAGUGGUGAAAUGCGUAGAGAUCGGCAGGAACACCGAGGGGGAAGCCAGCCACCUGGGCAGCCGCUGACGCUGAGGUGCGAAAGCGUGGGGAGCGAACUGG
rnacentral:rRNA from 1 species